UACGGAGGGUGCAAGCGUUAUCCGGAUUCACUGGGUUUAAAGGGUGUGUAGGCGGGCAUGUAAGUCAGUGGUGAAAUCUCCGGGCUCAACCCGGAAACUGCCAUUGAUACUAUAUGUCUUGAAUUUUGUUGAGGUUGGCGGAAUAAGUCAUGUAGCGGUGAAAUGCAUAGAUAUGACUUAGAACACCGAUUGCGAAGGCAGCUAACUAAACAAACAUUGACGCUGAGGCACGAAAGCGUGGGGAUCAAACAGG
rnacentral:rRNA from 1 species